rnacentral:tRNA from 1 species
GGACGUGUGCCCGAAAGAUAGGAGCUACUUUGAUAGAGUAGAAUAUAGAGGUUCAAACCCUCUCAUAUCCU